rnacentral:rRNA from 1 species
AUUGAACGCUGGCGGCAGGCCUAACACAUGCAAGUCGAGCGGAUGAAGGGAGCUUGCUCCUGGCUUCAGCGGCGGACGGGUGAGUAAUGCCUAGGAAUCUGCCUGGUAGUGGGGGAUAACGUCCGGAAACGGGCGCUAAUACCGCAUACGUCCUGAGGGUGAAAGAGGGGGAUCUUCGGACCUCACGCUAUCAGACGAUACUAGGUCGGAUUAGCUAGUUGGUGGGGUAAAGGCCUACCAAGGCGACGAACCGUAACUGGUCUGAGAGGAUGAGCAGUCACACUGGAACGGGGACACGGUCCAGACUCCUACGGGAGGCAGCAGUGGGGAAUAUUGGACAAUGGGCGAAAGCCUGAUCCAGCCAGGCCGCGUGUGUGAAGAAGGUCUUCGGAUUGUAAAGCACUUUAAGUUGGGAGGAAGGGCAGUAAGUUAAUACCUUGCUGUUUUGACGUUACCAACAGAAUAAGCACCGGCUAACUUCGUG